UAACAAUGCUUUUGAUUGUUCAAUUGGUUCAUUCUUUUCCUUUAAAAGUAAGAAAUGUGAAAAAUGUCCCAUCUAUACAUAUCAACCAUAUCCAAAACAAACUCGUUGUCUUCCCUGUAAUGAGAGUAAAGGUACCAUCAAUGUUGGUGCAGUGAGUGAACGAGAAUGUAUAAAAGUCAAAAGAUGUGAUUUUCAAAAGGGACUGGGAACUACUGAAUGUCCAUGGCACAACGUAGAAGGUGACGAUGACUUUGACUGGAAACUUAGUACAUCAUACUCA